rnacentral:tRNA from 1 species
UCCGUUGUGGUUCAGUGGCUAAGACUCUGUGCUCCCAAUGCAGGGGCCCAGGUUCAAUCCCUGGUCAGGGAA